rnacentral:rRNA from 1 species
AUACGGAGGGUGCAAGCGUUAUUCGGAAUCACUGGGCGUAAAGGACGCGUAGGCGGGUUGGCAAGUCAGAUGUGAAAUCCUACAGCUUAACUGUAGAACUGCAUUUGAAACUGCUAACCUAGAGUAUGGGAGGGGAGAUGGAAUUAGUGGUGUAGGGGUAAAAUCCGUAGAUAUCACUAGGAAUACCGAAAGCGAAGGCGAUCUCCUGGAACAUAACUGACGCUAAGGCGUGAAAGCGUGGGGAGCAAACAGGAUUAGAAACCCUAGUAGUCC